rnacentral:misc_RNA from 1 species
GUUUACAAGAAGCUUUACCCAUCGAUUCCUGGAAAUGUAGAAUUUCAUCCAAAGUACAUCAUUUAUGGUAAAAAGCAGCACCUAUUCCUCAUCGUUUAUGAGUUUAGUGGCGCUACAAAUGAAGUGGUUCUUUAUUGGGAAAAUACAGAUACCCAACUUGCUAAUAGUAAAGGAACUACGAUUAAAGGUCUAGAUGCUGCCUUUAUUGGGCCUAAUGAGAAUCAUUAUGCAAUUCUUGAUGAGGAUAAGACUGGGCUGUCCUUGUAUAUUUUGCCUGGAACUGCUCUGCAAGUGUUAGAUGAAAAGAAUGGAGCAAUUGAUCAAAACCAGUCUACUGACACUGAUG